UUUUAAAAUUUUAAAAUCAUAAUUUUAUUCCUUAAUUAAUGAGCUUUCCUUCCUUCGAUCGUUCUAUGGAGAUUCAGAUAAUCUUUUGCCGCCAAAGGCGUUGAUGGAACAUUUUCGCGCAAACGCACCACAAUGCUGCAUCAACUCCUGACGAUAAUAUAGUCGGUGAGGUUUUAUCGAUUGUUAAUUUUUUGCACGUGAAUGAAUCUCUUGUUGUUUUUUUGAAUAUGAUCGAACAGGGGGAAUGUACAUGGCGAAAAGCAAGCCACAAAACGUGAGCGAUUGCGAUUCUAUGGAGUAGUGGAAUUGAAUGGAGAAGUUAGUGAAGCAAAAUUGACGGUCCUCUUCAGAUUCCCAAAUCACGAGUUCCAGCAGUGAUCAGAUGGGAACUCGAGCAUAUUCAAAGUUCAUCCAUAUGAGAAUAUUAUGUACCUAGUUGAUGACAGAAAGAUUUCCGAGUAUGUUGGGCAACAAAAGAUAAGUGUCAAGUCUUUGAAAGCUUUUCUCCCAUCUUUGCUGAAAAUGAAAUCUACUUCUACUUUUUUGAAUACUUUUUAGUUGUGGCGGUGGAAAAUGGGGGCUCAAAGAGGGAUGGAAUUUGAUAAAAGUGGGCACAUACCAAUAUGUUCAGUACUCUUUUCAGGUGCGCGUGGACAUGAGCAUGCAGGAGCACUGGUACAGUUUCAAGAAAAUCACAACUUGACCCGAUUGAACAGAGCCUAUAACCAGAAGAAAGAAGAGGGGGGAAAAGGAAAGCAAAAGGUGAGAGCAUUUUGUUACAAGAUUCCACAAAGCUUUAAAGCAGGCAAUUGUGGAAGUGGGGACAGCGACCACGAUGAAAUCACAACGUUGGCAGUGGUUGGAUUUACUUAUAAGAAGUGUAGUGCGACCUGAUAAAAGCCUUCAAUCAAUCAUAUGUCUCUCUGUAUCCUUCCGUCUCCCCUAAGUUACUGAACUUUUAAGUUUCAAAUUGUCUUUUUUUCUUUAUAUUGUUAUUAUUUGUCUACUUGCCUCGUACUCCUAUUAA